rnacentral:lncRNA from 1 species
UACACGCGUGUCCUUUUCCGGCGGGGUUUUCGUCGUCGUAGCCGCCGGCAUGGUCAGAGAUAAGCCGUGCGUUUUCAGUAAGUAUACGCUCGCCUAAUGAUAUUCAGGCGUUACACUCGCGGUUCGAAAUCCAAACCGCCACGCCAUCAUCACUAAUCGUUAUCGUUAUCGUUAUUCAUACAAUAAUAUCGUAAUAAAAUUACGCGGUGGCCGACCGGCCAUUCGACAACGACGCGACGGCGUACGCUCCCCCCCCCCACCGUACGCCGGGCCCUUUUCGGUCCGCGCGGUUUAUCGCCGAAAUCUACGCGCGAAACGGACGCGUUCCGGGAGAACGAAAGUCCCGGAACCGCGGCGCCGGGAAUCGCCGAACGUCGCGUCCGCCCGGGGCGCGGGCACGGUCUCACCGUGAGCGAGACGGGGCGGACGAACGAAAAUCGUUUCGCAACUGUUUGGCGUGUACGCGCGCCGGCCCGUUCGCCGAUUUCCGUUGUGCGUUCGCCUUCGUUCCCGGUUCGUUUGCGUGCCCGUGACGGUCGGCGCAAUCGAACUUAUCGGUGGAAAUCGGAUGGACGGGGCAGUCUAGUGUUCUAGCGGGCCGCGCGAUUCGUCGACGCCCGCAAAGCACAGCGGAUUCGGCUACGCGUAUUCGCUAUGACGGUCGCGAAUGAUCGCGAGGACACAAUAGACUAUACUGUAACGGUUAGAGGUUACCGUAACCGAAAAAUACGAAAAUUCAAAAAUUACGUUUCGAGUGUUUUUCGGUUUUUUCGUCCGCGUCACUCGGGGGCGGUCCGUCCUAUUUCAGUCACGGACCGGCAUCGAAUCGGAUAGACUCUUUAUUUUAUGCUAUUGUUAUGGUUAUAACCAUAACAAUUUAUUUAUUUAUUUCUAUUUUUUCCAUUCCGUCCGUGUUACCGAGGUAAUCCAUAAUUCGACAGAAUUUGUUCAUACGAAAAAUAUGCAAACACAUCUCAUCCCAUAUUUCACGGCCCUUGUGUUUUACUUCCGCGGCAAAGAGUAGCCCGUUUUCUCCGGGGUCCCAUCUGUCUCUACGCGAAAAUUCGUCAAAAUUGUUUCAGCCGUUCUCGAGUUAUAAAUGGUGUACCUAACCCGACUUUGUUCUGUUUGUUUUGAUUAUGUGUGCGUACGUUUUCGCGCGCGCUUGAAAUACGAAGUAAUCAAUCUUUGUUUUUUUGCGGUUUGAAACGGUUGUCCUUAUUCGCCCCGUUCGUUUUUUUUUUUUUUGUUUAGCCUCAAAACAUAUAUAUAGAUAUGGUGUAUUACCGGUGCUGCCAUAACGAGCUGUUAUGUCACUGUCGUUUAGACGUUCAAAUCCCCCUUCGUCAACGUCUUUUUGUAGUCAAUCAACGGUGUCGUCUUUAUCAACGUUAGUGAAAUCUGAAAUUGAUGUAGCUCAAGACAAACUUCUAUAUUUUCCACGUCAUUGUAAGUAUUGAUGCACGAGUUGCACACAGGAAAGUCUUGACUUACUUGCAGGCACGAUUUUCCCAUACUACGAGAACGGCAUCAUUUAUGAUCCGCGUUUUCAAAAGUUCUCUCGUUAAAUCGAAUCAAUAUCCUUAUAAAAAAAAAAAAAAAAAUAACGCGAGACGAAUAUUUACGUUGGGUGGCAGAUAAUACCCGGGAUAGUAACCUUUACCUACGUACAA